rnacentral:rRNA from 1 species
GGCGGGCCCGCCUUAACUGGCCGCCGGGGGGCUCACGCCCCCGGGCCCGCGCCCGCCGAAGACACCCUCGAACUCUGUCUGAAGAUUGUAGUCUGAGUGAAAAUAUAAAUUAUUUAAAACUUUCAACAACGGAUCUCUUGGUUCCGGCAUCGAUGAAGAACGCAGCGAAAUGCGAUACGUAAUGUGAAUUGCAAAUUCAGUGAAUCAUCGAGUCUUUGAACGCACAUUGCGCCCCCUGGUAUUCCGGGGGGCAUGCCUGUCCGAGCGUCAUUGCUGCCCUCAAGCCCGGCUUGUGUGUUGGGCCCCGUCCUCCGAUCCCGGGGGACGGGCCCGAAAGGCAGCGGCGGCACCGCGUCCGGUCCUCGAGCGUAUGGGGCUUUGUCACCCGCUCUGUAGGCCCGGCCGGCGCUUGCCGAUCAACCCAAAUUUUUAUCCAGGUUGACCUCGGAUCAGGUAGGGAUACCCGCUGAACUUAAGCAUAUCA